CUGACCUCACGCACGGGUGGUCUGAGCUUGGCCGUGAUCAGCAGUCCUGCAGGAGCAAGCCAGUUAUGUGGUCACGUGGCCAGGGGAUCCCUGUGAGUCUUCAGUAAUUGUCAAAGUACAGUUCCAGUUUCCGUGUUUACUCAGUAACAAGUUCCCCUCUUGAAGUAAAGUGGCCAGGAAGGCCAGCAGGGUGCCAUUGAAAUAGAGAAGUUACUCUCACUGCCGGCGUCACUCACCAGUUACCACGUCAGCACCUUUGUUUAGUGUCCUUAUCAGUUGGCUUUGCUUAAAGCAUGUUUUCUCCGCUCUGAGUUCUGUUGAGUUAUUUGGAAACAGCUUGGCCAGCAGCAGUGAGAGCACCGGCCACACUCUGGGAUGGGCGCCUCCCAAGGGGAGCAGAGCCGGGGUGUGUGCUCUGUGCCCGCAGGCCUGCUGGUGAGGCUUUGGGCAGGGUCAGCUGCAGGACUCGGUCGCACGAGGCAGAACCGCGGCUGGGCUGCUCUCCGCUGUGGCUCAUCCGGCUCCUUGUGCUCGUGGGUCUGCGGUCGCUGUGCCCUGCUCGGCUGGGAAGGCGCUGGCCGGUCGAGUCACUCUCACAGUCUCAGUUGGACCUGAAGCCCUGCUCUGGGCACUGGAGUGGCUCAGGUGGUCCAGCGCAGUCUGUGUGUCACAUCAGCUAAGACUGGGAGCCCGCCUGGCCUCUCCAGUGCUCACAGGCGUGGGGUCUCAGUGUGCGCCCACCAGGAGUGUGCUGCCUGCAGGCGCCUCUGCCGCAGCCUCACGUCCCUCGGGCCGGCUGAGGCUCUGCAGACACCACUGCACCUGUGCGGCCCUGAGAGACCGAGAGGGAAGGGAGUCCACUGCCCCACAUCCUGGAUGGGCCCAGGAAACAGAACUGGGAGGGAGGCGCCGAUCCACGGCCCGGCAGACUGGUGCCUGUACCCAAGUUUCCCUGCCUCAUGAGCCGUGUCUGCCUCUGGGUCCUUUGUUCCUGGUUCCUGCGGUAGCCCUCUCGGCCGUCCCCAGUGUUAGAGUCGGGAUGCCCCACGAGCAGGGAGGGAUUCCUGGCUCACCCCUUUCGCUUGUGACUGGGGUCUGCCACCCUUGGUCUUGCCUGGUUUCAGCGUAUUUGCCAUCUGCAGAGUCUGAGGGUUUAUUUUCCUUUUUAAAAUAUUUAUGUAUUUGUUGGAAAGGCAGAUGAUAAAAGAGGAGAGAUCUUUCAUCCACUGGUUUAUUCUCCAAGCCAGGCUGAAGCCAGGAGCCAGGAACUCCAUCUGGGUCUCCCAUGCAGGUGCAGAGGCCCAGGCGCUUGGCCAUCCUCUGUGCAGCACAGCCCAGAUCCAGAGGGGAGUGAGCUCAGUGUGCCCCCCUGCAUGUGUGAGGGAUGACUGACGUGGAGCAGGCAAGAGGGGGUGGGAGACAGGUGUCCAAAUCCCAGCGAGCGUGGGAAGGCUGUCCUGGACGUGACCGUGUGAAGCGGAGCGGGGCAUCAGAUGUGCCCAUGGCUCACCCUGUCGAAAGGAGGCCACACGGGAGCCGUCCCCUGAGGCCAGACCUGUGAUCCUAUAGGAGUCACUGAACGUCUCGCCUUGGCAAACCCGGGAAGACUCAAAUAAAACAAAGGGCCUAUGAGAGCACAAACUCAGGGAGGAGGUCUGGCUCCUGGGAGGUGCAGUGUGUGAAGAUCUUUCACUUCCUUGAUCACAGAAAUGCAAAAUGUCAUUUUAAUUUCACAGGUCUGGGUCUUUGGGUAGAGUUUAUGCUAAGCGUCUCUCAGAGCACUGUGGAACCUUCCGGUGCUUCUCCAGGUGGACCAGUGUGGCCCUCGUGUGUCCUGACCUUUAGUUGCCCUGGAGGGUAUUUGAUAGCCCAGGAAAAACAGCACCGAGCGAGCUGUGUUGUGCAGCAGAGUCUGUGUCCUGGAAGGGUGUGAGCAAGCGGUAGGAGCAGGGGAGAGUGGGCGGGUCUCCGUGCAGGUUCUCAGAUCCUGAUGGGAGUCACUAGGAGCAGGGGAGUGGGCGGGUCUCCGUGCAGGUUCUCAGAUCCUGAUGGGAGUCACUAGGAGCAGGGGGAGUGGGCGGGUCUCCGUGCAGGUUCUCAGAUCCUGAUGGGAGUCACUAGGAGCAGGGGGAGUGGGCGGGUCUCCGUGCAGGUUCUGAGAUCCUGAUGGGAGUCGCUAGGAGCAGGGGGAGUGGGCGGGUCUCCGUGCAGGUUCUCAGAUCCUGAUGGGAGUCACUAGGAGCAGGGGAGUGGGCGGGUCUCCGUGCAGGUUCAGAGAUCCUGAUGGGAGUCGCUAGGAGCAGGGGGAGUGGGCGGGUCUCCGUGCAGGUUCUGGGAUCCUGAUGGGAGUCACUAGGAGCAGGGGAGUGGGCGGGUCUCCGUGCAGGUUCUGGGAUCCUGAUGGGAGUCACUAGGAGCAGGGGAGUGGGCGGGUCUCCGUGCAGGUUCUGGGAUCCUGAUGGGAGUCACUAGGAGCGGGGGAGUGGGCGGGUCUCCGUGCAGGUUCUGGGAUCCUGAUGGGAGUCACUAGGAGCAGGGGAGUGGGCGGGUCUCCGUGCAGGUUCUGAGAUCCUGAUGGGAGUCACUAGGAGCAGGGGAGUGGGCGGGUCUCCGUGCAGGUUCUGGGAUGCUGAUGGGAGUCACUAGGAGCAGGGGAGUGGGCGGGUCUCCGUGCAGGUUUUCUGAGAUCCUGAUGGGAGUCACUAGGAGCGGGGGAGUGGGCGGGUCUCCGUGCAGGUUCUGGGAUCCUGAUGGGAUCGAUGCCUUCCU